CGGCGUGCUUAACACAUGCAAGUCGAACGAAGCACUUUGAAACAAUCCUUCGGGUGCGUUUCUUAGUGACUUAGUGGCGGACGGGUGAGUAACGCGUGGGUAACCUGCCUCAUGCAGGGGGAUAACAGUUAGAAAUGACUGCUAAUACCGCAUAAGCGCACAGUACCGCAUGGUACAGUGUGAAAAGAUUUAUCAGCAUGAGAUGGACCCGCGUCUGAUUAGCUAGUUGGUGAGGUAACGGCCCACCAAGGCGACGAUCAGUAGCCGACUUGAGAGAGUGAUCGGCCACAUUGGGACUGAGACACGGCCCAAACUCCUACGGGAGGCAGCAGUGGGGAAUAUUGCACAAUGGGGGAAACCCUGAUGCAGCGACGCCGCGUGAGCGAUGAAGUAUUUCGGUAUGUAAAGCUCUAUCAGCAAGGAAGAUAAUGACGGUACUUGACUAAGAAGCCCCGGCUAACUACGUG
rnacentral:rRNA from 1 species